GUGGGGAAUAUUGGUCAAUGGGGGAAACCCUGAACCAGCGACGCCGCGUGAGUGAAGAAGUAUUUCGGUAUGUAAAGCUCUAUCAGCAGGGACGAUGAUGACGGUACCUGACUAAGAAGCCCCGGCUAACUACGUGCCAGCAGCCGCGGUAAUACGUAGGGGGCAAGCGUUAUCCGGAUUUACUGGGUGUAAAGGGAGUGUAGGUGGUCAUGCAAGUCCGAAGUGAAAUCCCGGGGCUCAACCCCGUGACUGCUUUGGAAACUGUGUGACUGGAGUGCAGGAGAGGUAAGUGGAAUUCCUAGUGUAGCGGUGAAAUGCGUAGAUAUUAGGAAGAACACCGGUGGCGAAGGCGGCUUACUGGACUGUAACUGACACUGAGGCUCGAAAGCGUGGGGAGCAAACAGG
rnacentral:rRNA from 1 species